rnacentral:piRNA from 1 species
CUUGGCUGUUACACAUCUCACACCAAGA